UAGGGAAUCUUCGGCAAUGGGGGGAACCCUGACCGAGCAACGCCGCGUGAGUGAAGAAGGUUUUCGGAUCGUAAAGCUCUGUUGUUAAGGAAGAACGAGUGUGAGAAUGGAAAGUUCAUGCUGUGACGGUACUUAACCAGAAAGGGACGGCUAACUACGUGCCAGCAGCCGCGGUAAUACGUAGGUCCCGAGCGUUGUCCGGAUUUAUUGGGCGUAAAGCGAGCGCAGGCGGUUAGAAAAGUCUGAAGUGAAAGGCAGUGGCUCAACCAUUGUAGGCUUUGGAAACUGUUUAACUUGAGUGCAGAAGGGGAGAGUGGAAUUCCAUGUGUAGCAGUGAAAUGCGUAGAUAUAUGGAGGAACACCGGUGGCGAAAGCGGCUCUCUGGUCUGUAACUGACGCUGAGGCUCGAAAGCGUGGGGAGCGAACAGG
rnacentral:rRNA from 2 species